rfam:Pseudopedobacter saltans DSM 12145 chromosome, complete genome.
AAGAAAGUAAAUAAGGGCACACGGAGGAUGCCUAGGCUCUCAGAGGCGAAGAAGGACGUGAUAAGCUGCGAUAAGCUACGGGUAUCGGCACAUACGACUUGAUCCGUAGAUUUCCGAAUGGGGAAACCUGACAUACUGAAGGUAUGUCGCACAAGCGCAAACCUGCUGAACUGAAACAUCUAAGUAAGCAGAGGAAGAGAAAAUAAUAAUGAUUUCCUGAGUAGUGGCGAGCGAAAGGGAAAGAGCCCAAACCGGACCUGUUACGGCAGGUCCGGGGUUGUAGGACUGAAAAGUGGGUAUAUCGAUGAAGCAGAACGGGAUGGGAAGCCCGGCCAUAGCGUGUGACAGCCACGUAUGCGUAAAGGAAUAUACCCUAUCAGUAUCCUGAGUACCGCGGGGUCGGAGACGCCCUGUGGGAAUCUGCCAGCACCAUCUGGUAAGGCUAAAUACUCCUGAGAGACCGAUAGUGAACCAGUACCGUGAGGGAAAGGUGAAAAGAACCGUGAAUAACGGAGUGAAAUAGAACCUGAAACCGUGUGCCUACAAGCGGUCGGAGUCCCGACUUAUCGGGAUGACGGCGUGCCUUUUGCAUAAUGAGCCUACGAGUUGCUCUUCCCUGGCAAGGUUAAGUACUUCAGGUACGGAGCCGAAGCGAAAGCGAGUCUGAAUAGGGCGUACAGUCAGGGGAGGCAGACGCGAAACCUUGUGAUCUACCCUUGGGCAGGUUGAAGGUGCGGUAACACGUACUGGAGGACCGAACCGAUAAACGUUGAAAAGUUUCCGGAUGACCUGAGGGUAGGGGUGAAAGGCUAAUCAAACUGGGAAAUAGCUCGUACUCCCCGAAAUGUUUUUAGGAACAGCGUGGUGGUUAGUUUACUAGAGGUAGAGCUACCGAUUGGGUGCGGGGGAGUCAAAUCCUACCAAAUCCAGACGAACUCCGAAUGCUAGAUAAAUAUACACUGCAGUGAGGCGCGGGGUGCUAAGGUCACGCGCCGAGAGGGAAAGAACCCAGACCAUCAGCUAAGGUCCCCAAGUGUACGCUAAGUUGAACUAACGAGGUCUGAUUGCAUAGACAGCUAGGAUGUUGGCUUGGAAGCAGCCAUUCAUUUAAAGAGUGCGUAACAGCUCACUAGUCGAGCGAUCGGGCAUGGAUAAUAAACGGGCAUCAAGUGUACCACCGAAGCUAUGGGAUUGAAAUAUAUCGGUAGGGGAGCAUUCUAUGUGCGGCGAAGGUAUCUGGUAAUGGGUGCUGGAGCGCAUGGAAAAGCAAAUGUAGGCAUAAGUAACGAUAAGGCGGGAGAGAAACCCGCCCACCGAAAGGAUAAGGUUUCCUGAUCAACGCUAAUCGGAUCAGGGUUAGUCGGGGCCUAAGGAUAACCCGAACGGGGAUUCCGAUGGACAACUGGUUAAUAUUCCAGUACUUUUGUUAGCUGCGAUGGGGCGACGGAGUAGUGACACUGCCGCGAACUGACGGAAUAGUUCGUUAAAGAGCGUAGGUAUAGGAUCUGUAGGCAAAUCCGCAGGUCUUGCUGAAACUUGAUAGUACCGGGCGGCUUCGGCCAACUGGAUAGCGCAGGUAAUCAGACUUCCAAGAAAACCCCCUAAGCUUCAGGCUAACAGAACCCGUACCGCAAACCGACACAGGUAUCCGGGAAGAGAAUUCUAAGGUGCUCGAGUGAAUCAUGGCUAAGGAACUCGGCAAAAUGGCCCUGUAACUUCGGGAGAAGGGGCGCUGGAGCGAUCCAGCCGCAGUGAAAAGGCCCAGGCGACUGUUUAACAAAAACACAUGGCUUUGCAAAAUCGCAAGAUGAAGUAUAAGGCCUGACACCUGCCCGGUGCUGGAAGGUUAAGAGGGGAUGUCAUCGUAAGAGAAGCAUUGAAUCGAAGCCCCAGUAAACGGCGGCCGUAACUAUAACGGUCCUAAGGUAGCGAAAUUCCUUGUCGGGUAAGUUCCGACCUGCACGAAUGGUGUAACGAUCUGGGCGCUGUCUCAGCCAUGAGCUCGGUGAAAUUGUGGUCCCGGUGAAGACGCCGGGUACCCGCAACGGGACGGAAAGACCCCAUGAACCUUCACUAUAGUUUAACAUUGACAUUGGGUGCAUGAUGUGUAGGAUAGGCGGGAGAUAUUGAAGCGGCGUCGCCAGGCGUCGUGGAAUCAACGUUGAAAUACCGCCCUUUAUGUAUCCGGUGUCUAAUCCCGAAAAAUCGGGAGACAUUGUUUGACGGGUAGUUUGACUGGGGUGGUCGCCUCCAAAAGGGUAACGGAGGCUUUCAAAGGUAAGCUCAGUACGCUUGGUAACCGUACGUGGAGUGCAAUGGCAUAAGCUUGCUUGACUGUGAGGCCUACAAGCCGAGCAGGGUCGAAAGACGGACAUAGUGAUCCGGUGGUUCUGCAUGGAAGGGCCAUCGCUCAAAGGAUAAAAGGUACUCUGGGGAUAACAGGCUGAUCUCCCCCAAGAGCUCAUAUCGACGGGGAGGUUUGGCACCUCGAUGUCGGCUCGUCACAUCCUGGGGCUGGAGAAGGUCCCAAGGGUUGGGCUGUUCGCCCAUUAAAGUGGCACGCGAGCUGGGUUCAGAACGUCGCGAGACAGUUCGGUCCCUAUCUGUUGUGGGCGCGGGAAAUUUGCGCGGGGCUGACCUUAGUACGAGAGGACCGGGUUGGACUGACCUCUAGUGAAUCUGUUGUACCGCCAGGUGCACUGCAGAGUAGCUACGUCGGGAAUAGAUAAGCGCUGAAAGCAUCUAAGUGCGAAACUAGCCGCAAGAUAAGAUUUCCAUAGAGGACCCCCGAAGACUACGGGGUUGAUAGGCUACAGAUGUAAAGGCAGCGAUGCCAAAGUCGAGUAGUACUAAUUGUCCGAAAGCUUUCCAUU